ACAGCGGCGCCGACAGCCGCUCCAGCUGCCACGGGUUGCAGCCGCUCAGGAAGCGCAGCUCCUCUUUGCCGUCCUCCGUGCGCGCUGCAAGAGAGAGGAGGCACUGAGAGAGGGGACGCGGGGAGACCUCGGGCUGCAGCCCCCAGCCCGGUCCGGCGGGCACUCACCCUUCUCGUGCUGCAGCCAGCGGCAGUGCAGGUAGUAGUGAUAGCAGCUCUCGAACUCACGCUCUGUGUAGUUGGGCACGAGGAUGGGGACAAAGGGAUCCAGUGCAUCGAACCCCUCCUGGAAUCCCAAAGGGAAUGAAGGUGCGUUUGAGCCCAAGGAUGAGCAGAGCGUAGACUGCAGCCCUGGGGCUGAGCGCAGCUCCAAACAGAGGUUCUGUUUCCCAACACAAAGGAGAGAAGAGGCCACGGCUGCUCACCUUUCCCAGCAGCUCGUGGGGCAGAUGGGCAGAGCUGGGCUUGAAGAGGGAACCGGUCUGGCUGAGCGUUGUCACCACAGCACCACCGCUCUGAAAUUGGGGCAGAGCACACUGUGAAAUGGGCACGGCUUCCAGACAGUGUGUCCAUGGCACCUCGGAGGCACCUGAGCUCCAAAAUGCUGCACUGUAACUACAAGGAAUUCAUCUCCUACAGCAGAGAGUUCCCCUCAGUUCAACAAAAUCAUAAACUGCAUCAUCAUUACGGGUCGGUAAAUGCUGAGCUCUCAAGAAGUGAGUUACAAACUGUGCAAGGAAGGCAUCACUGUGAGCUGCUGUUAAUUCUUACAGCCACAUGUUGACCCCAAGCAGUCGCACUGCGCUCUCCUCCACUGGAGGAACAGUGGGACAGCUGCAGCUUUACACUGCUCAGCGGGAGCUUUAACUGACAGCUGAAGUGAAGGACCAGAACUCACCCAGUUAUUCAUCACCAUCUUCCUUAGGUUGUACACCAACGUCAGCUCCUCUGGAGAAACCUGAUCAAGAGGGGUGGGUGAGACUUCUUUUUGGCAGCAGUUUCCUACCUGAGGAAUACAUUCCUCUCCCCCCUUUACACGACUUUGGAAGUAUCGUUUGUGUGCAUCAUGCGGGUGCCUUUCUUCUUUGCUCCUACUUAACCCAAUUCAGCCCCAGUAACGUUACAGAGAAACACCCAAACCUUCCCUGCCAUAACACUUCUCUGAACCUUUUCCUUAUUGAGACAACUUCCUUCAGUUAAAUCUGCCUGAAGCCCAGGCUGUAUUUUGCAGCUCCCUCCAAGCUGGCAGAGCCAAACGUGCAUUUCAGCUCGUAUGACUUUACAGGAGGGGUUACUCCUGAACCUAAAUUAAAACAGUGUGCCUCCCCCCUCACAGCACACGCAUUCACACUUUCAUCUUACAGGGCUUUUGUCUUCUUUCUUUAACGUUGUCCUUCCCCAGAGUGCAUUGACUCCGUCCACUGCCACCAGAACUCUGAAUGAACCCAGACAGCACUGCUGCUUGAUCUCUUUCAGCACCACCCCAACCGCGUCGCUGGCGUUCUUCACUCGAGUUAAGCCCUUCAAGGAGGAAAAGGAACAUAACUCAGGUUGUUCUUGUUAAUGCACGCUGCUGGGGCACUGCCUGCCCUUCCAAAGGGGUGGGGAAGGUACGACAGACUUCUGAAGCACUCCUAUUUCUGCCAGCACUGUUCUGAUAGGAGCUGAGACAAAGCGAGGCGGCUCCUUACCUGCUCCACCACCUCCCCCAGCGGCCUGCCCUGCUCUGUGCUGUCUCGUUUGCCCCACACGUAUUUUUGUUGUGUUUUUAUCUGUGUAAGAGAACAACAGCAACGAAAUCAAUGCAGUAAUACAAAGGCGGCCAUCCCCACGGAGGGAUUUAAAUUACUUCUUUUAAAAACUGCAUUCUGGCAACGGGGAGGUUUUGGGUAUGCAACGUGAGUGCAUGCAUCACUGCAUGAAGCACUUCUCAUCAACAGGCACGUGCAGACUUCACCUCCAGCUGCUCACAGAACAGCAGCACACACACACACGUGGACCCAGGGAGGAGAUCCCGUGGUGAUGAUCUCUCAUGGCUACAAACCAACAGCCUGGCAGCCCCUACAAACCUCCUUUAGGAAGUGCUCAUUUGUGGUUCUGAAGUUCCGGAGCCAGAAGGAUGCCUGCAGAGGCUGAUCGAGCCUCUCCUUGUUGUAGGAGGACUGCAUGAGCUCCUUGCAGUUCUUCACCCAAAGAUGAGCUGCAAGCAAAGGAAAGCAGUUGCUAUUUUUAGUCAAAAUGUACAACGUGGGUGCAUCACUUAUCCUCGUUCUGCUGUGUUUAUGGGAGGAGUCCGCCAGCAUGAACGGACAAAGCUCUCCCAUGAGGACAGAGGUGACGACCCAUCAUUUUCAGCGUCCUACCCUACAGCUCCGUCCUGAGGCAGAGUCUUUCCUUCCAGUGACAGAUGGGUGUACCUGACGUGGCCUUACCAUCCGGGAUGUGCAGCACCAGCCAGCCCUGCCGCGCACAGAAGUGAACCACGUGGCACAGCGUCAUGGUUUUCCCAGUUCCCCUCUCACCAUCUCCAACACUGUCUGUCAAGGAAAGUCUGCAACAAAAUGCCUCACGCGUAGCAUUAAGUGGCUGUCAAUUGCUUGGCGAAAAGAAUAAGGGAAGCACAAAGGUCGUAAAAGCAAGGAUGGUGUUCCACCCAGCAGCAAAGCAAGGCUGAAGAAUUCCUCCUCCCCCCUCAGUACUUCAGAGCUGUGAUUCCCAUUCCCUCAGUUGUGUCGAUACCACCAUUGGUGGAACUGUGCCUACACCCAACUGUGGCUUACAACAAAGACUGUCAGCUUUGGGAACCUCUCAGGGUGGCUUUACUGACAACAGAGGGGGCAGAGGCGGCUCCUGAAGGACAAACCACAGUGCUCAGCACACAGCAGAACACUGCCCUCAUGUGCUUACAUUCACCUGCCUGCAUCCCAUCGGUGUUCCACCACCAAGCCGAGUGACAAAAGAUACAAAUCACAUAUCUGACGACGGGGUGGGCAAAGUUGGAGUUCUUCAGGUAGGUGAAAAGUUCUAGAGCAGGUUUUCGCACCAUGACACAGGCUUCCUGGAAGGUCUUAAUCUGAGAACGGGACGAGAAUAAGGAGCCACACGUCAGCACACCACAGCUCUUCCUACUGUGAGCCCAUCUCUGCUGGCGCCAUCCAGGAAAGGCCUCUGAUGGUGCCAAUCAGAGGGAAAUCUCCAUUAUGCCUCAGUCCAUCAUAACACCUUUGCUGCUGCUCGGUACAACCAUCUCUAAGGCACUCACACGAACGUGCUUUAAUGCAGAAGUACCUGCUGCUGGAAACGAUAGGGCAGCCCAUGUGGGAAAACAGCCUUCACCUCCUCCAGAGGAAUGCUGUAAUGGCGACCCUCGUGCUGUUCACUGUGCUGGGCCUGGGAAGGCAAAGAGCAAACUGUGACACCCUGAAGUGUGACUCCCUGUCCCGCACACAAAAGGCUGGGAGGAACCACUCAGUCAAAACAAGCGUCUGCUUACUGACAGUCAGAAGAAGCAGCACAGUAAAGUCAGGCAGGAAUUGUGGUAUUACUGCCAUAGGAAGUCUCCAGGCCACCUGAGCUUGUGCACAAACUGCUGUUUCACAGCCACUGCUGUGCCCUAUGCUUUAUGGAAGUAUCUAACCCUUUCCUGGCCUGCUUCUCCUCCUGAUCACCUGAAUAGCACCGUGAUCCCCCUCAGAGUCGUCUGCUAGACUCAAAUGUACUUUCUUUAAGCCCGGGAGCGGAUCACAUCCCUGGUAUCUGUUCUGUGCAUAAGGAAUGGUUUGACACAGACUGCCAGCCGCUGUGCUUCUGCAUGGCACUGCUCCAGUUUUAUUCUCAGCUUCGUCACUGCUGCAUAACCUCAGGCAAAUUCCUUCCCUCUCAGCUGCCACACCUGCUCAGUGGUUCCCACCUUUAUCACUGCGUUCAGUCACUCUGAGUUCUGCUAACAGAAAACUAUAUGGAAGUGAAGUCUUAUUAAAAAUUUAGCUUUCAUCUGGCCUUCUUAAUCCAUUUUUAAUGGGGCUUUGCUGUACACACGCAGGAGCCCAGUUGGAACGAUGAGGUUUGCUGAUGGAGCAAUCCAGCAGCGCCGCUCCGCUCCGCUCCCCACGCAGUCUGCAGUGCUGCACAGCGAGGAACUGAGCAGGGAAACGAAGCAGCGAUGCUGGUUGUCGCCCAACAUCAGGCACGUGAAGUCAGGAUGCCAAAGCCAGUUGCCCAGCAACGUGGAUUGUAGGCACAGGACAGCAGAGACAAUUCUUGCCAUCUGGACCCUUCUGUGCGAUCUAUAGAGACGCUCGGACCACGUGAGCAAGAUCAUCUGCAUGCUGCUGUUUCCAUAGAGACCCCCGAGGAAUCAGUAUUGAAAGACUCCAAUUACAGAGGCAGCAGAAAAGCAUCUCAAAGGCUGAUUCCAUUCAUUUACCCCACUUCAUUUUGUGCUCGAGACGAAGAGCAUCGGGCUGGAAUAAUGCUGCUGGAGAGCCACGCUGCGCUGAGGCAGACUGCUGAAGCACGCCCAUGAAGCCCAGCCAACACGGCGAGAAAGCAAGGAGCAGAAGGACAAGCACUUUAUUAUGUGAUGGGGAAAGAAAAUAUGAGUGCAAUGAGAUGCAUCUGUCAAUGAAUAAAACAUUUGUAUACGCCAGAGGCUGUGACCAAAGCAAGCAAAACUGAAAGCCACCCUCCAUGUUAUGGACUGGAACAGUUGCAGGCUCUGGCUAUAAACAGA